UAUCUUUCGAAAACUAUAACAAAACGCGAUGAACGGAAGGAAAAUACGCCAACUACGGCGGCGCACGGCGCCUCGGCGAUAUCAUAUUGAUCCUACGAACUGCAUGCAUCCAGCUGUUGCAAGGCGAGAAGGUUCGUGAGGAUGCCAAAGAGUCGAGAUGCAAACACCGUCGUGAGCUUUCCACUUUUUGUACAGUUUUGUCGUCUUCCAGUCCCAUAUGUAACAUUUACCAUCUGCGUCUCCGGAAACCAGAUAG
rnacentral:lncRNA from 1 species